rnacentral:sRNA from 1 species
AGAUGCCAGAAGAACACUGUUGCUCUUGGUGGAUGGGCCCAGAGGAAUUCAGAGUUAAACCUUGAGUGCCUGCGUCCGUGCGAAUUCAGCAUGGAAUGUCUCUACUAUUUCCUGGGAUUUCUGCUCCUGGCUGCAAGAUUGCCACUUGAUGCCGCCAAACAUCUAAGGAAGAGGAAGACUUUCUGGAACAGUGGAAAGAACUUGUCCUGGGAAUCAAAAGAUGUGAAUCUUGAUUUCUACUAAAGAUGACCCUAGGAUUUCAUGAUGUGCUGGGCAAUGAAAGACCUUCUGCUUACAUGAGGGAGCACAAUCAAUUAAAUGGCUGGUCUUCUGACGAAAAUGACUGGAAUGAAAAACUCUACCCAGUGUGGAAGAGGGGAGACAUGAGGUGGAAAAACUCCUGGAAGGGAGGCUGUGUGCAGGCGGUCCUGACCAGUGACUCACCAGCCCUCGUGGGCUCAAAUAUAACAUUUGUGGUGAACCUGGUAUUCCCUAGAUGCCAAAAGGAAGAUGCCAAUGGCAACAUUGUCUAUGAGAAGAACUGCAGAAAUGAGGCUGGUUUAUCUGCUGA